rnacentral:rRNA from 1 species
AUUGAACGCUGGCGGCAUGGUUAAAACAUGCAAGUCGAACGAUCCCUUCGGGGAGAGUGGCGAAAGGGCGAGGAAUACGAUCGAACGUACCCCGAGGUGGGGGAUAGCGUCGGGAAACUGACGGUAACACCCCAUGUCCUCUACGGAGAAAAGGUUUACCGCCUUGGGAGCGGCGAUCGUCCUAUCAGGUAGUUGGUGGGGUAAAGGCCUACCAAGCCGAAGACGGGUAGCGGGUGUGAGAGCACGACCCGCCGCAUCGGGACUGAGACACUGCCCGGACUCCUACGGGAGGCUGCAGUAACGAAUCUUCCGCAAUGCGCGAAAGCGUGACGGAGCAAUGCCGCGUGCAGGAUGAAGCGUCUACGACGUGUAAACUGCUGUCAGGGACUAGGAACAAUGACCAGUCCCAGAGGAAGGGCCGGCUAAUCUCGU